AGCGAACGCUGGCGGCAGGCCUAACACAUGCAAGUCGAACGAACCUUUCGGGGUUAGUGGCGGACGGGUGAGUAACACGUGGGAACGUGCCUUUAGGUUCGGAAUAACUCAGGGAAACUUGUGCUAAUACCGAAUGUGCCCUUCGGGGGAAAGAUUUAUCGCCUUUAGAGCGGCCCGCGUCUGAUUAGCUAGUUGGUUGAGGUAAUGGCUCACCAAGGCGACGAUCAGUAGCUGGUCUGAGAGGAUGAUCAGCCACAUUGGGACUGAGACACGGCCCAAACUCCUACGGGAGGCAGCAGUGGGGAAUAUUGCGAAAUGGGCGAAAGCCUGACGCAGCCAUGCCGCGUGAAUGAUGAAGGUCUUAGGAUUGUAAAAUUCUUUCACCGGGGACGAUAAUGACGGUACCCGGAGAAGAAGCCCCGGCUAACUUCGUG
rnacentral:rRNA from 1 species